AUUUAAAAUUCAACUUAACGAAUGAUAUAUUAUUUAUAAUUAGAAGGUUACAUCAUUCAACAAUGUAUUUAUAACGCCACAAAUUAUAAUAACAAUUUACUUGUUCAAAUUAUUAUAUUUUAAAUAGAAUAAUGAUGCUAUGAUAAUUUGUGUGGGACGACAUUAAUAAACGUACUGGUAUGACUAAUUUCAGUGUCCAAAUUUAGAAUUAUUAGGAAUGACGUAGAGUGUAUAAAAUUUUCCAGGUGUAUUGAAUUCUUUUAGUUUUGUUACAUAAUAUAUAUACAUCAAUUGAAGGGUUUAGUGCAAUUAUUUCGACUUUUUUCGAAAUAUACAUAUUUCAAACAGACAAUAAAGUCAAACGGUAUUUGGAGUACCUUUGAUUACCAUUUAUAUUUAUUCAAUUAAAUUAUGAAAAAAUUUUACCAUUAAAACUACAAGAUUGAGGAAAAGUAAACAGGAAUGGUGGCAUCCUAAAGAUGAUUUUUAUUAUGAAUUUUUUUUUUUUGUGGAGAGAAUUCAAUCGAUUUUUGAAGAUAAAUAUUCCAACUGGAUUAUCUCAAUGCAUAAGAAAUUCCACAAUAUAUUCAAAAAAUACAAACCACUUUUUCCUUUAAUGAACUUUUGGGAGGCGUGACGACCACAAAUGUCCCAAUGAAACCGCUUCUAACUAGGAGGUAACCAAUUUGUAACCCCACCGCCCACUGAAAUAUAAGCGAUUCUAGAAUUAUAAAUUUGUGAAAUUUCCAAAAAUAAUAACACCAAGAUAGAUGUUUAAUAAUCACGGCUAAUAGUUUGUUUAGUAUUGUACUAAAAUAAAAUAAAAGAUGUGGCCUAGUCGGUAAUAUGACAGUGCUUCAUGUGAUUUGGGUUCGAGACUCGAUUACGAGCGGCUCUGUUUUCUGAGCAAGAGAUCAAUUUAUGUAAUUGGUGUCUUCAUUCCUCUCCUCAGGGGCGGACUAAUCAUCCAUCCUGGAGUAUUCAUGUGCAAGUUAAGAAACCUUCUCUUCGAGGGAGACCGCUAUGGCUUUUAAUGAGUUGCAAAAGCGUAAAAAUAAAAUAAAUGUUUUUUCAAGAAAUUAAGAAUAAUGAAUAGUAAAAAAUAGUUUGUACCCCGUACAAACUUAAGAUAUAUUUAUAUCUUAAUCUAUAUCUUGAACAAUAACAGAACUCUUCAAUGCUUGAUUAGUUGAUGAUGAAAAAGGUUUCAUAAUUUUUUAAUAUAAAUUUCAAAACAAUAAAAAGAGUAAGAUUUCAAUAGAACAGCUUAAAGAUAGGAACUAGUAAAAUACUAAAAUAAAAUGGAUGAAAACAAAUUAAAUUGAACAACUACAUCAUAUAAAAUAAAUUUUAUAUGUAUAAAAAUUAUAAUAUUUCUCUAAAUUUCUAGGGAAACUUUGAUAUUGAUCCAAACAAAAGUUACCCGUGGAAACAAAAACCUUGACCUACUAUCUGGUUGGUCUAAAAGAUUCUGCGGAUUUGCGGAUCUGAAUUUUAUUGAUUAGUAUCCCAACAAGCGACCUUGACCGUUCUAAAUCUAAGUAAUGAAUUUUGUUGUUUUAAACUCAACACAACAAACUUUUUUCAUUGAUUUUCAAAAUAUGCAAUCAAUUGUAAGGCAAAUCAGUAUUUAUAUAAUUUAUAGGUUGCAAAAAUAAAUUCAUAAUCAAGAUGUUAGUUGUGAUGCGUUUAUAGAAUUUAAACAUCAUUACUUAUGAGUAUAUUUGGAAAGAGCAAUUCAAAACUCAAUUAUUACAAAAUGAUAAUUUAUUUAAAAAUCUAAGGGUUUGUUUUAAAAA